UAUUCCUUGAACCUAUGAUAAGCGAUAGCCUGUGUUAUCGCACUCCCCCCCCCAGUCCGUCAGUAACAGACACCCCUUCAGUACGGCUACUGUCUUCAUAUCCAACUCUCGAGUACUGUCUCAUUCAAGUCUUCUCAUAACUCAGUCACCUUCUAAGUGCUGUCGUAGUUUUGAAGGACAAUGGCCAGUCGCUUCUUUGAGGGAGCAGCUCAUGCUGCUGCUUAUGCAAAGUUUAGACCUCAACCCCCCACUUCUCUUGUGGAUCAAAUCAUGGGUUUCCUCAAAGAAAAGUAUGAAGGACCUGUAAUGGCUGCUGCUGAUGUAGGCUGUGGCUCCGGUCAGAGCACGCAGAUCUUGGCUCCUCAUUUUGCUUCAGUCACAGGUCUGGAUAUUUCAGAAGCUCAGACUUCUGAGGCCAUCAAACUAAAUUCAAGAGCAAAUGUCUUCUUCAAAACAAGUGGUGCAGAGAAGCUACCGUUUCCUGACAACAGUCUACAGCUGAUCACUGCAGGCCAGGCAUGUCACUGGUUUGAUCUGCCACAGUUUUAUAAGGAAGCUGAUAGGGUUCUCGUCCCAGGUGGUGUCCUUGCACUGUAUGGAUACAUGUUUCCAUAUGCCGUCCAUGAAAACCUGACAGAAAAGUUGUUUGAAAUUAUUGAUCACAUGUAUAAAAGUGAACUGAAUGGCUAUGUUCACCAAGGGAGUAAAGAGGUCUACCUAGAGCAGUAUGGGGGAGAAAAGUACAAGUUAAUCUAUGAUGAGCAGUUGGAAGUCAGGUGUACACCAAAGAACUGGGCCCAUAUUGGGGAGCCAAAAUUUCUGCACUUGAUGAUAAAUAUGUGGAUAUGGAAAUACCUUAUGCUUCAAGUAUUAGGGAUGAUACUCAUUUCAAGGAUAAAAUGGCAACAGUUGCCGAGCUGACGGGAUACAUCACUACAUGGUCAGGCUACCAAAACUUUAAAUCAAAAAAUGGUGAUGCUGCUGCCCAGAAGAUUCUUGAUGAUUUUCAGAACAGGAUUAUGACUACACUUAAUGUGACAACAAGUCCAGAGGACACCGAAAUCUGCCUUCGUUUCAAGUACUUCCUUUUAAUGGGGCGUAAACCUCCUAGUCAGGACUAAACUAGUUUCACAUUUAAAAAACUUUUUCUAUACUGAAAAUUGGAGAGACGAUUACAAGGCAACCAUCAUAUGGCUGAGGAAGAUGGCUACAGUAAGUAAUAAACUAAUUACAAACAAAAAUGACAAAUUUGUAGUGAACCUUUUCAAGGUAUUUCAUUUACUGUCCCAGAUGUUUUAGUGGCAUCAUUCAAGGCUGGUAAAAUACGGUAAGAUCAUGUACAUUAUUAACUGUCUCGGCUACUGGGAGCACUAUGGUACUCGACCUUUGUAGAGUGCAGAGGAGAAAAGUUUGUAAUACACAAGGCUCUGAACAAUGGUUCCUAGCCUACUCAUAGGAGUUAAUACUGUGCUGACAUUGGAAUACCAGAUAUAGCAACCCAUUCUCCUGUUUAGAUAGAACUUUUGUUACUAUUUGGACUAUUGUGUCUAUAUUGAUGCAAUGGGCAAUUAGUAGAACUUGGUACUAUUCACUUAGUCUGGAAUAAAGCUAAAAAACAAACUUACAUAUUCCUAGGCCAGCACAUGCUGUAUAUGUAUUAUAUUAGGCUUAGGAUGGUAUAGUUAGGUUUUAUUAGCAACAUAAAUACAAAACCUUUUCCAGUUUGUCCAUAUUCAAUAGUACCAAAUUCUACUUCCUAAUUGUCAAUUACGUCACUAUAUAUACGAUGGUCCACAUCAUUAUUAUAAGUACUAUCUAAACAGGAAGAUGAGCUGGAUAAAGCAGAAUGUACACUCCAUGAUAUGUAAAGGAUCAGUUGGUGCUGAUUUAAUAGCAUUAAUGUUUGGCAGCAAAUGUUAAACACACAUCUCAAAAUUAACCAAGGCAAAUUCCUUCAAAAUGUUUAAAAAAUAUGCGGUUCUUGGUAUUCAGGUUUGUGUGCUGCAAAUUCCAUUAUAUAAAAGCAGGUUAACAACAAGCAGGAUAUAAAAUGUGUAAUUUAGUAUCAGACUGGAUAGUUGAGGGUGGUUAAAGAUGGACAUUGUGAUGCUUACUCCAGAAGAACUCCAUCAUUGUUGUUGUUAUAGUUACAUGUGUUUAAAUACUUGGGAUAAGCAUGUGAACAUAGUAGUGCAAAUGGAAAAUGUAGGAAUAAGGGGAAUAUAAUUUGUUUCAUAUUCAUAUUAAUUUUUCCUCUGGUAUGGGGGGAAUACACUAAAUUCCUGAAAGUAUACAAGUUUCCUCAACAUUGCACAUUGGGUUUUUGUUAGCGGUCUUGUGGGAAAGGUUAACUUAUUCCAAGACAACCUAUUUUUUUUUUUAGUUCGACAUGAUGUAUUAAAUUUUCAUGGUAGCUCAAUUAAUAUAUAAGAA
rnacentral:misc_RNA from 1 species